rnacentral:rRNA from 1 species
UGGGGGAUAUUGCACAAUGGGGGAAACCCUGAUGCAGCAAUGCCGCGUGAGGGAAGAAGGUCUUCGGAUUGUAAACCUAAGUUGUCAGGGACGAAAGAAAUGACGGUACCUGAAGAGAAAGCUCCGGCUAACUACGUGCCAGCAGCCGCGGUAAUACGUAGGGAGCGAGCGUUGUCCGGAAUUACUGGGUGUAAAGGGUGCGUAGGCGGGAUGGCAAGUCAGACGUGAAAUACCGGGGCUCAACUCCGGGGCUGCGUUUGAAACUGUCGUUCUUGAGUGAAGUAGAGGCAGGCGGAAUUCCUAGUGUAGCGGUGAAAUGCGUAGAUAUUAGGAGGAACACCAGUGGCGAAGGCGGCCUGCUGGGCUUUAACUGACGCUGAUGCACGAAAGCAUGGGGAGC